GACGAACGCUGGCGGCGUGCUUAACACAUGCAAGUCGAACGGAAAGGCCCUGCUUUUGUGGGGUGCUCGAGUGGCGAACGGGUGAGUAACACGUGAGUAACCUGCCCUUGACUUUGGGAUAACUUCAGGCAACUGGGGCUAAUACCGGCUAGGAGCUCCUGCUGCAUGGUGGGGGUUGGAAAGUUUCGGCGGUUGGGGAUGGACUCGCGGCUUAUGAGCUUGUUGGUGGGGUAGUGGCUUACCAAGGCUUUGACGGGUAGCCGGCCUGAGAGGGUGACCGGCCACAUUGGGACUGAGAGACGGCCCAGACUCCUACGGGAGGCAGCAGUGGGGAAUAUUGCACAGUGGGCGGAAGCCUGAUGCAGCAACGCCGCGUGCGGGAUGACGGCCUUCGGGUUGUGAACCGCUUUCGCCUGUGACGAAGCGUGAGUGACGGUAAUGGGUAAAGAAGCACCGGCUAACUACGUG
rnacentral:rRNA from 1 species